AGCGAACGCUGGCGGCAGGCUUAACACAUGCAAGUCGAGCGGGCACUUUCGGGUGUCAGCGGCAGACGGGUGAGUAACACGUGGGAACGUACCCUUCGGUUCGGAAUAACGCUGGGAAACUAGCGCUAAUACCGGAUACGCCCUUUUGGGGAAAGGUUUACUGCCGAAGGAUCGGCCCGCGUCUGAUUAGCUAGUUGGUGGGGUAACGGCCUACCAAGGCGACGAUCAGUAGCUGGUCUGAGAGGAUGAUCAGCCACACUGGGACUGAGACACGGCCCAGACUCCUACGGGAGGCAGCAGUGGGGAAUAUUGGACAAUGGGCGCAAGCCUGAUCCAGCCAUGCCGCGUGAGUGAUGAAGGCCUUAGGGUUGUAAAGCUCUUUUGUCCGGGACGAUAAUGACGGUACCGGAAGAAUAAGCCCCGGCUAACUUCGUGCCAGCCGCCGCGGUAA
rnacentral:rRNA from 1 species